AAGGCAACAGCCCCCUCCGCCGUGGCUUACCACGGGGCAGGGAAGUGUGCCGAUCUUGACGAAGUUUCGGGGCUGCUUCCUCCUCGGCCAGCCUGGCUGCACCCUGAUGUCGCGCACCUCGCCCUGCCCUACCUGUGCCUGAGUCUGAUGUGUUGUGGCUAAGGCUCCAGACUUGCGGUGCUCCCGCUGGUCCUGCCCUCCCUGAGGAAGGGCCUGUGCCUCUCUUCCCUCUCGCUGAGCAGUGUCGCCACUGGGAUCUCGGAGUGAUACCACCACCCCCCACACAGGACAGAGCAUGGUCGGACCCGGGGACUCUUCCUUCUGGUUCUGACCACCCGGCCCUACCCAGACCACCUUGGGGCCUUUUCCAGAAAUGGUUGCGUUUCCCCUUUACUUUCAGACAUAUCCAUGACCGACAGCUUGGGGGGGGGGCUGGGGGGCUGUCCCUUCCCCACAGCCUGGCUGACCUCUUCAGGGCUAUCUGUGGGAUCGCUCCUCUUCAACAUCUGUUUUCUCUCAAAAAGCUUCUCCCAUAGUGACUUCACCCAAAAUCUGGCAGUUCUAGUCCUAGUGACACCCGUGCUUUGUGACAAGUGCUAACGCUCCGAUCCUGUUCACACAAGCAACAAGCAACAUUUCCCAGAAUCCCAAGCGGCCUUGUACUUGAUUCGUGUCCGUCCAUACGUACAAUGUUUCUCUGCACAUACUGUAUAUAAAACCACUGCUUCUGGAAAAGCCAGGAAACGUCGUCCUCCAGCUCUUUCGAUUGGGCUUUGUGUUCCACGUGAUUAUGACAGCACAGGUGGCCAUCUUUGGGAUGGGUUAUUUCAGGGACAAGGUGACCCCGUGUUCUCUUUGUUUAACUCGUCGUGGUAGCGGAUGUUUUGGUAUCUGACGCCUAGUGGAAUACAGUUCGGUGUUGUGUGUGUGAUUUCUGUAAUUGUCAGGGGUGGAGUGCACCCUUGAAACGUGCGAAGAAAUAAACGCCUUAUGACACCAGCUGCGGAAGGCA
rnacentral:lncRNA from 1 species